CCUCAGCGUACAUGCCAGCUAAUUACAGAUGCAGGAGCAAACCCCUGGCCCAUACAUCAGUUGGGUGUGGUGACUCACACCUGCAAUCCCAGCACUUCAGGAGGCUGAGGAGAGCAGAUCACUUGCGGCCAGGAGUUCGAGACCAGUCUGGGCAACAUAAUGGAGUUUCGCUCUUGUUGCCCAGGCUGGAGUGCAACGGCACGAUCUCAGCUCACCGCAACCUCCACCUCCCAAGUUCAAGCAAUUCUCCUGCCUCAGCCUCCUGAGUAGCUGGAAUUACAGGAUUUUGGAAGCAUUGCCUUCUACAGAAUCCACAGUAGUCCGAAGUUCUUCUACGGUUUUUGUCAAACUUUGAUUUUCCAUCUCUAGCUUCAAUAAUCUACUUGAUGUCAACUCAUUCACCUCAUGG
rnacentral:antisense_RNA from 1 species